UCCAGGUUGUUCUCAACUUCGUAUAUCUGGGCAUUGGGAUAGCAGUUGCUUCCUUUCUUCGUAAGUGCAGCUCCCAUUCUAUUCUUGGAAUACAUGUUUCCUGUCAUUGAAAAUUUAGAUGUCAAGCAAUAGUACACAGGAAAAGAUAGUAAUACAUUCAGUACAUACCACUCUCAAUUAGACUUAACCACAGAGGAUUGUUUUUCUUUUUCCUUUUCGAAGAGGAAGUUUAACCCUCGGUCUCUGCAUCAUCGCUAACAACUAUACCUAAAUGCAGAGAAUAAUUAACAAGGUUAUAUAAUAUCAGAUGGAAACCAGCUUCUCCGCGAAAACUCAAAACUCCAUCAGAAGAGUACUCUAUAAACUUGUAAAUUUUCACAUCAAACUCAACUGCAGUUCAAAGAUACAAAAUUCACAAGCAGUGAGCAAUGAAACGAAACAGUGAUGUGCACCACAUUUGCGGUCAGACGUUUAGUCAGAUAUUGGGUGAGCUUUGUUGUUUCCACCUCCUUCUCGGUGUCAUCUUUUUAAGACAAAAUGAUACACACUUUGGUGCAUGAUCAAGAAAAAAAAACAGUGUAGGAGACACAAAUUUGUUCUUGCUUGGGUGAGGAAUGCAAUCGUCAAUUCGUUAUCAAUUAUCAUGUAUCCAUUCCAUGAGAAGUACCAACUGCAUUCCUAAAAACUGAAUAUGUCUGGUUAAAUUUAUGCUAAUGGCAAAGAAGUUACCCCACUAUAAAAGGCUCACCCUUCAUUAUCUUCCAGAGAUGUCAUGCUGGACAACGUCAGGAGAAAGGCAGUCAGCCCGCAUCCGUUCUUUGUACCUGAAAUCAGUUCUGAGGCAAGAUAUUGCAUUCUUCGACACAGAAAUGACA
rnacentral:lncRNA from 1 species